AGGCUUCAAAACCCAUGAAGUUUUCUACUGCAUGAACCAUUUUAAUCUACCUCUUGCCUGAAUUAUUUUGAUGGAGACUUCAUGAAGGGCACGUUGUAAAAACUGGGAAUGACACAGGCGUGCUGAUGAGCCUAUUAGAAACAUGAGAAUCUGUGCUGGGCCAAGUUCUCCAGAUGAAGUCUUCAAAUAAGAGCCAGUUUUGAGGAGCUCAUCUGUGUCCAUCUUGGGAUAGUAGCCUGGGGUUCCCAACUUUGGCAUCCAUAAGAAUCAGCUGAAGAGCUUGUGAAAAUACAGGUUCCUGGGCCUCUCCCCAGAGUUUCUGCCUCAGUGGAUCUGAAGUGAGAAGGUCAAAGGAUCAAGUCAAUACACAUGGAUGCAAUCAAGGAAGAUUUUCACUUUAUCUGGACCUCCUGUGUUGGGAUGUUUGCUGGUUUCUUUUAAAUAUAAAGAGGUUAGUGGACUCAAUUUCACAUGUCAUUAAAGAACAUCAAGGUUUCCAUCAUAUUUUAUUUAUUUUGUGGUCAUUAAACAUUAUGUUGGAACGUAUUCAGAUGGGCAUAUUUUUUGUAAUUGUUACACAGAUUUUCCUGAAACUCGAAUAAAGGUUAUAGAUGUUUGAUUUGCCGAGACAGUUCUAUAGUUCACAGACUC